rnacentral:rRNA from 1 species
AACGUAGGACACAAGCGUUAUCCGGAAUUACUGGGCGUAAAGGGCGUGCAGGCGGUUGCGUAAGUUAGGCGUGAAAGACUUCGGCUAAACCGGGGGAGGUCGUCUGAUACUGCGCAACUAGAGUAUGGUAGAGGCGUGUAGAAUUCCGGGUGUAGUGGUGAAAUGCGUAGAGAUCCGGAGGAACACCAGUGGCGAAGGCGACACGCUGGGCCGUACCUGACGCUAAAGCGCGACAGCAUGGGGAGCAAACGGG